AGGUUGGCUCAGAAGCAGCCAUCCUUUAAAGAGUGCGUAACAGCUCACUAGUCGAGUGACCCUGCGCCGAAAAUGUACCGGGGCUAAGCCUGAUACCGAAACUGCGGAUUGUAGGAAACUAUAGUGGUAGGGGAGCGUUGUAUACGAGUAGAAGCCGUACCGUGAGGAGCGGUGGAUUGUAUAGAAGUGAGAAUGCCGGUGUGAGUAGCGAGAUGUAGGUGAGAAUCCUACACACCGAAAGCCCAAGGAUUCCAGGGGAAGGUUCGUCCGCCCUGGGUAAGUCGGGACCUAACGCGAGGCCGAAAGGCGUAGUGGAUGGAAAGCAGGCGAAAGAUUCCUGCACCCGUAUAUGGAGCGAAGGAGUGACGGAGACGGAUAGUGUGACCCUCUUAAUGGAUUGAGGGCGAAGCGAAGCGGCUGGUUACCAGGCAAAUCCGGUAACCUUAAGGCUAGAGCGUGAUAGGUAAGCGAAAUCUUAGGAAAGUAGCGAAGCACAUGAUGACGGCUUCCAGGAAAAGCUUCUGGCAAUGCAUAUGCGGCCCGUACCAAAACCGACACAGGUGGGCAGGGAGAGAAUCCCGAGGUGAGCGAGAGAACUGUUGCCAAGGAACUCGGCAAAAUGACUCCGUAAGUUAGCGAGAAGGAGUGCUUAAGCAAUUAAGCCGCAGUGAAGAGGCCCAAGCGACUGUUUAACUAAAACACAGCUCUCUGCGAAGUCGCAAGACGAAGUAUAGGGGGUGACACCUGCCCGGUGCUGGAAGGUUAAGAGGAUCUGUUAAGAGCGAUCUGAAGCAGUGAUCCGAAGCCCCAGUGAACGGCGGCCGUAACUAUAACGGUCCUAAGGUAGCGAAAUUCCUUGUCAGGUAAGUUCUGACCCGCACGAAAGGUGUAACGAUUUGGGCGCUGUCUCGGCAGCAGACUCGGUGAAAUCUUAGUACCUGUGAAAAUGCAGGUUACCCGCAACUAGACGGAAAGACCCCAUGGAGCUUUACUGCAGCCUGAUAUUGAAUUCUGGUCAUACAUGUACAGGAUAGGUGGGAGACAAAGAGACGUGCACGCCAGUGUACGAGGAGUCGUCGUUGGGAUACCACUCUUGUGUGACCGGGGUUCUAACCUGGUAUCGAUAACAGGUACGGGGAGAGUGUCAGGUGGGCAGUUUGACUGGGGCGGUCGCCUCCCAAAGAGUAACGGAGGCGCCCAAAGGUACGCUCAGAUUGGAUGGAAACCAAUCGACGAGUGCAAUUGCAGAAGCGUGCUUGACUGUGAGACUUACAAGUCGAACAGGGACGAAAGUCGGGAAUAGUGAUCCGGCGGUGCCGAAUGGAAGGGCCGUCGCUCAACGGAUAAAAGCUACCCUGGGGAUAACAGGCUGAUCUCGCCCAAGAGUUCACAUCGACGGCGAGGUUUGGCACCUCGAUGUCGGCUCAUCGCAUCCUGGAGCUGGAUUCGGUUCCAAGGGUUGGGCUGUCCGCCCAUUAAAGCGGUACGCGAGCUGGGUUCAGAACGUCGUGAGACAGUUCGGUC
rnacentral:rRNA from 1 species